rnacentral:rRNA from 1 species
GCUUGUCUCAAAGAUUAAGCCAUGCAUGUCUAAGUAUAAGCAACCUUAUACAGCGAAACUGCGUACAGCUCAUUAUAUCAGCAAUUAUUUAUUUGAAGAUCACCUAUUACAUGGAUAACCGUGGUAAUUCUAGAGCUAAUACAUGCUAUCAAGCCCGACUUCUUGAAGGGUUGUAUUUAUUAGACUUAAGCCAAUAUUCCUUGUGUCUAUUGCGAUGAUUCAUAAUAACUGAUCGAAUCUCAAAUUUGAGAUAAAUCAUUCAAGUUUCUGCCCUAUCAGCUUUCGAUGGUAGUGUAUUGGACUACCAUGGCAGUAACGGGUAACGAAGAAUUAGGGUUCGAUUUCGGAGAGGGAGCAUGAGAAACGGCUACCACAUCUAAGGAAGGCAGCAGG